GUCGUUAUGUCUUGCGAAUUACGAUGGGGAUUCGUUGUCUGAGCCUUCCCACGAUGGGGCAAUCCUGCAUGAUCCGAAUCGUUCGUUAGCUUCGCUCUGAUACUCGACCUCGAUGAUUUAGCCGGUUUCACUAUCGCUGUUGUUCCGGAACGCUGCACUUCCGCCAAUCUUAAAAUGCAAAUACCCAACACAUUCUUGUGCGAUUCGCGACUUCGUGUUCGCGACUUAAUCAACGAACUUCGGAGUUCAACAAGAUGAAUGUGAUAAUUCACUUUUUCGUUAGAACGUUUCAAAGUUAGUUAUUGGUAAGACGGGAAAAACUAAGUUAUAGUGACACGAACGGAUUCGUUCUGUACGUCAACGUUCACAACUUCAUCUUCACAGUUUAAUCAUCUAACUUAAAUAAAGGUAUGAUCGUUUGGUCUUUGACGGGCAACUCAAGAUUGACUAACAAUGGUCUCAGGUACGAGUAUCCUCCCUGGACUUGUCCUUCCG